GUGGGGAAUCUUGCGCAAUGGGCGAAAGCCUGUCGCAGCCAUGCCGCGUGAAUGAUGAAGGUCUUAGGAUUGUAAAAUUCUUUCACCGGGGACGAUAAUGACGGUACCCGGAGAAGAAGCUCCGGCUAACUUCGUGCCAGCAGCCGCGGUAAUACGAAGGGGGCUAGCGUUGCUCGGAAUUACUGGGCGUAAAGGGCGCGUAGGCGGACAGCUUAGUCAGAGGUGAAAGCCCAGGGCUCAACCUUGGAAUUGCCUUUGAUACUGGCUGUCUUGAGUUUGGGAGAGGUGAGUGGAACUCCGAGUGUAGAGGUGAAAUUCGUAGAUAUUCGGAAGAACACCAGUGGCGAAGGCGACUCACUGGCCCAAUACUGACGCUGAGGCGCGAAAGCGUGGGGAGCAAACAGGAUUAGAAACCCGAGUAGUCC
rnacentral:rRNA from 1 species